UGGGGAAUAUUGGACAAUGGGCGGAAGCCUGAUCCAGCAACGCCGCGUGAGGGAUGACGGCCUUCGGGCUGUAAACCUCUUUCAGCACAGACGAAGCGCAAGUGACGGUAUGUGCAGAAGAAGGACCGGCCAACUACGUGCCAGCAGCCGCGGUAAUACGUAGGGUCCGAGCGUUGUCCGGAAUUAUUGGGCGUAAAGGGCUCGUAGGCGGUUUGUCGCGUCGGGAGUGAAAACACCGGGCUUAACUCGGUGCUUGCUUUCGAUACGGGCAGACUAGAGGCAUUCAGGGGAGAACGGAAUUCCUGGUGUAGCGGUGAAAUGCGCAGAUAUCAGGAGGAACACCGGUGGCGAAGGCGGUUCUCUGGGAAUGUCCUGACGCUGAGGAGCGAAAGUGUGGGGAGCGAACAGGAUUAGAUACCCGUGGUAGUCCACACCGUAAACGUUGGGCGCUAGGUGUGGGAUCCAAUUCCAGCGGGUUCCGUGCCGCAGCUAACGCAUUAAGCGCCCCGCCUGGGGAGUACCGGCCGCAAGGCUAAAACGUCAAAUGAAUUGACGGGGUCUAAGCUG
rnacentral:rRNA from 1 species